rnacentral:lncRNA from 1 species
UUUAAUUUGCAAUCGUCGAAAACGGUAAACCGAAAUAGAUUUAAUUACUCAAAGAUCAUUUAAUUUUCGAUAUUGCCGUAGACUUCUGAAAUGGCUGUUUUUCCAACGAAGCACUACUUUUUUCUGGUGAUCCUUUUCUUGAUUUGCAGCUUCAUGAUCUCAACCAGCACUACUCAAGGUAAUACGAUCGAAUAAUCUCCGUUUAUUUCAUUCGAUUAAUUUGUUGAACUUCUUUAUGUUCGUAUAUAAGUACUUCUUCUAUACCUAUUCGUUAGAUUCAAUAUUAGGGUUUUGAUUUGCAUGAACUAUAAUUUAAUUUUUCGUUUUGCAGCAAGAAAUUUAGGAGUGAAGAUUACUCGUCAAACCGCAAAUCAUGAGGUUGCAAAUGAGAAAGGAGAAGAAAUGGGUGCGAGCGUUGAACAAUUGGCAGCAAUGGAUUACACUCCUGCACGAAAGAAAACUCCGAUUCAUAACUAGAAACCGAUGAAUAUUUCGUGGAUAUAUAUAUCAUAUAUGUGUGGGCAGUGUCAUAUAAUAUAUAUUAAUUUGUAUAUUCACACAUUAGAACACAUUAGAUAUAUACAUACUAUAUGAUAUACAGAAAGAAUUAAAGAGUGCAUAUAUAUAUAGACACACACACACACACACACACAUAUAGAUAUAUAUAUAGAAGCCAAGCUAGGGUUUUCAGGUAAACCCAAGAAACAUUGUAAAAUUGUAAAAUAAAGGAGACAACAUUAUAUAUGUUGCUGAUGUAUUAUAAAGACACGUGCAGUGUGUGUGUGUAUAUAUACAUACAUACUGAAAAUUAUAUAUUCCAGUGUAUGCUUGUUUUGUUUUGACAUCAAUGAAACG